UAUAUAUAUAUAUAUAUAUAUUCACAUAGGACCAUUGAAGAUAGAGGAAGAACAUAGAAAAUUAAAAGAUGAGGAGUGGAGAGAAGUUUAUUAUGGCAGUUGCCAUGGUUGUAGUUUUUCUUUUCUCAAUAGGUAUGCCCAAAGCUGAAGGUAGAAGGGUAAUAUCUGAAACAUGGACAUGUCCUAUCCAAUGUGGCCAAGCAAAACCUGACUGUUAUACCUACUGCACACAGAGUGGGAAGGGCUAUUGGAGAGGGGUAUGCAGGGAUUCGAUAUGCUGUUGUGCUACAAGGAAUGUGCAAGAGAGUCACAGUUAAUGUUUCAAUGUGAUCUUGUGUUGUGCCUCAAUGAUAAUAAAAAAAAAAUAAUAGAUAAAGUUGGAACUUUAUGUUUUUCUUCUAGUUUGAAGAAUAAGUUAUGAGUUUCAUUACAAAGAAAUAAAACAUGAUUUGUUUUAUUAGUUUA